rnacentral:rRNA from 1 species
UGGUCAAUAGCCUAACGGCUGACCCAGCAACUUAAAAGACCGAAAAGCCGAAGUCAUGAGCGGUUACCAUAUAAGUAUAUGGGGCAUAAUAUGCGGAUAGUUCGAAGUAAGUCUUGAUAAUGACAUAAUUUGCUUUUAAGUCUUGACCAACUCAUGUGCCAGCAGUCGCGGCAAGACAUGGAAGGCUGCGUUAUUCAUCCUUAUUAGGUUUAAAGGGUACCUAGACGGUAGUUAUCAGCUUUUUUCUUUAAAGAAUUUUGUACUAUAAAUACUAGAGUUUUAUGUAAGGAGAUUCCGAACGGUGAGUGGAGGGAUAGAAUCUUUUGAUACCACUUAGAUACUGGUUUAGGUGAAGACAGGAUCCUAUGUAAAAACUGACGUUGAGGGACGAAGGCUAGAGAUAAGGAACGGGAUUAGUUACCCCAGUACUACUGGCAGACAAUGAUGAAUGCCAUAUGUAAGAGAAAUUUUAUAUAUAAAUGAAAGUGUAAGCAUUCCACCUCAAGAGUAAUAUGGCAACAUAUAAACUGAAAUCAUUAGGCCGUUUCUGGAACUCGUAGUGAAGUAUGUUAUUUAAUUUGAUGAUCCCCAAAGGACCUUACCACAGUGUGAUAUAGUUAUAUACAUAAGUAUAUAUCGGACAAGCGUUGCACGGCUGUCUACAGUUGAUGUCGUGAGAAUCGAUUAGUUUCGUUAAUCAACGGAAU